rnacentral:rRNA from 1 species
UACGAAGGUGGCAAGCGUUACUCGGAAUUACUGGGCGUAAAGGGCUCGUAGGCGGCCAACUAAGUCGGACGUGAAAUCCCCAGGCUCAACCUGGGAACUGCGUCCGAUACUGGAUGGCUUGAAUCCGGGAGAGGGAUGCAGAAUUCCAGGUGUAGCGGUGAAAUGCGUAGAUAUCUGGAGGAAUACCGGUGGCGAAGGCGGCAUCCUGGACCGGCAUUGACGCUGAGGAGCGAAAGCGAGGGGAGCAAACGGG